rnacentral:tRNA from 1 species
GAGGGUAGAGCUCAGUGGUAGAGCACCGGCUUAGCAUGCAUGAGGUCCUGGGUUCAGUCCCCAGCACCUCUA